rnacentral:lncRNA from 1 species
UGUUGCUUUACACAUAUGAUCUAAAGCAGUCUUGGUUCAUGUUGGGAAGGUAGGCGAAGGAAUUUGCUGCACUCGCAGGACUUCGUGGCCUUUUGUGUUGC